UCAGGGCCGACUGCAGGAUAAAAGACUCCUCACGCUUGUUCGGACCCCAGACGCCCGGACUCGCUCUUUGCAUGCGAGCUCUGGGUCCUGGACGCGGGGACAAGGUACCCAGUCCGCUGUGCAUUAGAGAAAUGUGCAUGUCUGUAGACGCGAAACCUCGGGUUUGCACCGGACCCCAGAGCUGGGGCUGCGACUCGGGAGAGCUGCUUCCUCGGGCUAGACGACGGGGCUUAGAGGCCGGGACCGUAGGGAUCCCCCUGAGCAGUGUGCGGAGCUCCCUAGCGAGGGUCUUACUAACGCCGCCAGCAUCUGCACUGUUGCACAGCCUGGCUCUUGGGGUUCCUGGACGCCUGACUUCCUGGAAAGAUAACCGCAUGUCGUGAGGCUUUGGCCUGAAGUUUCAGUCAGGGCUGGGUUAGAUGGGCGGGUUCUUUGUUUAGCUCCCCAGUCUGGACGGAACUCUCCAGCUCUGGUCCCCGCCGGGUGGGCCUUUCAGCAUGUGGGGUGCCUGGUACUUCUUCCUGCGCUUCGCCUCUGCGUCCGUCGGCCAAGGGUUCCUGGCAACCCAAGAGGCCAAGGUGGGGAGCAGGGAUGCCAGAGCCACCUGAGAAACAGGGGUUCCCUGGAGCCCCUCCACCAUUUGACUCAUCAGGUCCCUGGGAAAUAAGUCAACGUGUUGGGAAGGCCCACCUGGUGAAAUGGGGCUAACAAGAUCCGUCCUUUCUCACUGGCGGCGGGAGGAGGGAAGAGGGACGAGGAGCUGGGAUCUCCCCACCAUCACACACAAUGAAAGGUUAGUGGUCGUGCUGGACCCCAAUACACAGGCUACCAGCGGUCCAGCCAGUUCCAGCCAGUCUCCCUUGCUUGUAAUUCCUUCCGCAUACACGCACUCUGACUCAAAGAUGAGAAAACUGAGUCGGAAAAGUCCUGGGGGGACGCUUCCCCAGUGACCCCAAACUCUUACAGCUGUGCCCUGCUUCUUCAGGUGCUCGCUGGAGCCUCACACUUCCUUAUUCCCAGCUCUGAGGAUGUGCAGGCAGGAAGAAAUAUCUCCAGUCGGGCUGUUGGAAGCGUUUGUAAAGCUUCUUUCACUCCACAGCACGCUUUCCCUGGCGCCUGCUCUGCCCCAGCCCUGGGCUGGGCUCUGGGGACACUGAUGAGUCAGGCUUCUUCUCCCGAAGCCCCUGCCCAGCGGCGGCAGCCAAAUUGGCUAUACCCCCUGCCUAGCCCAGGGCUGUGGGCUGGUCUGCAGGACUUCAGUCUGGGCCCCGGCCAGCUGUGGUUAAUGCUAAACGAGGCUGUGGCCUGGACACUGGACACACACCCAGGACUUCACCUCCUCUGCCCAGGUCCUCCAUGCCCCCAGAAACCCUUUCUUCAUGAACAGUCCACACUUGCUUCAGACCCUGCAAGGGCUCCCCGCUGAUUUGGGAAUGCCAGCAGAGCUCUUUGCCUACCAUUCUCAGCCCUAUGAGGCCUGACUUCUCCCCACCUCACCUCUCAACAGGCCCUCCUCACUCCACCUUGAAUACCCCAGGCCAUGGCUCCAUUUGAAGCUUCCCCUUCUAUCAAGGCUGCCUCCAGCUUCCUGUAACUUCCCAGCCUUGCCUUUUUUGCUCCAGCAGGACCUCCUCGAGGCAGACCCAAGCUGGGUCAGGGCCUCACCCAGUGCCCCAGCUCCUGCACUCCCUGUCACCCUGGUUGCCUGACCCCUGCACACAUCUGUGUCUCUACCAGCAGGGAUGGGAAGGGGGCUCCUGAGGAAGGGCAGUGGCCAUGUCAGCACCGGGCCAGGCGCAGAUGACCUGUGGAGAAGCGUUUACUGAAUGAGUGGGAUUUUGUCUCUUUCUCUAAAAACUGAAACCAAAGAAAAAUGUGACAACAGUUCCAAGCCUGGUGUGAGUCACAGGCUCAUUUGUCCUCUCAACUGGCACAAAUGCUUCUCAGCCACAAAACUUCUGAGGGCGAUUCUCUGGCCCCUCUGCCAGAGCUGGGUGCAUCUCCCCAGAGUUUUCAGAGAGGAAAGAGGCAAGGGUGUAUGUGUGUUUGGGGGUAGGGGGUUGUCUCCAUACCUGCUGAGCCAGGAGGUGGGGUAUUAGACCCGUCAAGUCUGAAGGCCACUCCUCCAGACAAAUCUGGGCUGCUCACCGGACUCUCUGAGUUGAUGGUGUGAUAUAAAUAUUUCAGCCCCACUAGCUAUUCUCGCCCUGCUCUGGGGAAGACUCGAGACUUCACAGAUGUAGGGAUGUGAUUGAUACCAUGCGCUCAACAGCAGCUGGAGAAGCAGGGAAUCUUGGAGAUUCUUGGUCCUCAGAACAGAAGGGAAGGGAGGAGGGGAGAGGGCAGUCUUCUCCACCCUCAUUUAUCCUGUUCCUUCGGCACACAGCCCCGUGGGGGAACCGGGGGAGGCACGCAGAGCAAUAAGCUGAUUCCUAAGGUGCUCUGCCCAGCCAGAGUGCUGGGGCUCCAGAGAGGAGAGGAUGAGCGGGGAGGGGAUGGAGGGGAGCACACGGAGCUGGAGGUGAGACGGAGGCGGGGCCGGGGAGAAUGAAAAACCAGCCUGUUGGUGGUUUCUUCUUUUUUUAAGAGCCACAAGCUGAGAUCAAAGGUGAUAUUUUUACAGCAACUGAAAUAGAAAACCACUGGGCACACAGUGGGAGGUGAGCGGCCAGAACACAGGCCCUUUCAUGCAGCCUGUGGCCACAGCAAGCACACUGCCCUCUGCUGCGGGCCAUGGGGCUUGGGGGACAAUGUGGCCCCGGUCUUCCCAACUCUGGUUUCAGAAAGAAGUGAAAGAGAUGAGCUGCAGCCUGCGGUUCUGGGAGAGGAGAGGAACAGCAGUGAGGAUCACGGUGAGUAGCCUGUCACUGUCCAAGACCACGCUUGUCACUUUUGCCGUGGGCGUCAGAGUUGUGCCAGGCCCUGUUUCAUCCUCACAGAGCUCAGUGAGGAAGGAUUAUUGGUACCCCUGUUUCACAGAGGAGGAAACCAAGGCUGCAGGGGAAAAUGAUUUGGUCAAGUCCCGCAGGGAGAUGGGAGCAAAUUCAGGACCUGAACCCUGGGGCUCCUGGUCCAACACCCUUACGGCUCCCUGUAAUCCUCACUCACUCACUCACACGCUGAAUUAUUUCUUGAGCCUCUGCACUGAGGUCCUAGCUGACGGGGGCCAUGCUCAGGUCUGCUAGAGCACUGGUUCUCAGAGAGGGAGAGCAGCAGUAUCAGCCUCACCUGGGAACAUGGUAGAAAUGCAUCCUCGGGUCCCAACCCAGACUUACCGAACCAGAGACCCUGGGGUUAGACCCAGCCCUCCACAUUUUAAUGAACUUUCCAGGUGAUUCUGUUGCACACUGAAUUUGAGAAUCACUGCAUUGCCUCACCUCAGUUUCUACGUCUGUGUUUCAGGGAAAAUCUCAACACCCGUCUCACAAGAUUGAGCUCAGUAUCAGCUAACACACGUGCUGGCUGUGUGUUCUGUGCCAGGCAUUCUUCUAAACCCUCUACAAAUAUUAACUAAUUUCAUUUCACAACUCUGUAAGAUAGGAACUAAUACUAUCCUCAUUUCACAGAUGAGGAAAUGAAGGCACAGAGAGGUAAAGUAACUCACCCAGGGUCACACAGCUAGAAUCCAAGCUCUAACCAGUUAACCAACGGAAAGCCCCCAGCAGAGGGUCUGGUGCCCAGAAUGUGUUCCAGGCGUGGCUAAGGAUGUGAUGAUGGAUGGCAAUUAGUAUUACCUCACCUGAGUUUGAGAUGAUGAUCCCCAUUUUGUAAAUAUGAAAUCUGCUGCCCUGUCAAGAUCGAGGAGUGAGUCAGCUGCAAAGGCAGCCUCAGUAUCUGGAACCCCAGUGCAGCCCACAGGUCCUCACCAUUCAUGCAGUUUUGAGACCAUAAUAUACCACCUUGGUCUUCUGGAAACAUCUCAGUUUGCUGUAGGGAAGAGUGUAGACUCUGCCAGAGGUGAGCUGAAAACCUCAUUUGGCCAUUCAGAGGCUGUGUGACCUUGGACAAAUUGCCUCACCUCUCUGAUCUUUAGAUCACCUUUUCUCAUUGUAAAGUGGAUGAUGACAGUCCUAACCUUACAGGGUUCCUGUGAGGGUUGGAGAAGAUGACAUUUGUGCUCAGCCCGCAGCAUGCACAGAGCUGGUCAUCAACAAGCAGCUUGCCCACCUCCCUUCCCAUCCCUGCUGCUACCUCAGGGGAAAGACCAGCUCUGGACCCAGAAAAGCUUUGAAAGAAAAAGAUAUAAAUUCCCCAACAAUCAAAAUGCCUUUGUCCUCCAGCCUCCCUGCCCUUUUCCAGACUUCCUUGAAACAGACACCCCGGCCAGGGUUUCUGGGGUGAAACACUGGCACCUGCUGCUUCCAAGUUGGGAGUUAAGUACCCUGUGAAGGGAAGAGGAGGUGACCUCUCUGAGCCACCACCACUGGCCGGUGUCCUUAAUCAGCGCGAGCAUCUCAGCAUCCGCCUUCCGUGAGCAGUUUGGCCUGGACAUCUGAAGCUCGUUAGCUGCCUGCUCCCAGGGGGCUGACCCCGCUUGGAGAGAAUUAUCCCAGACAGAGCCAUGGAGGAUGGAGCAAACGAAGACCAGGCAUGGAAUGUGGAAGCUGCUACAUUACUGCAGGAAGAUGUAGAGGCUGGGUUCACAGGCUGACUCAACUUUCGGGCGUCCUGGUAAGUUAGCCCCUGCUUCCUCAUGCCCACCUUGACCCUAAUCCAGGCUCCCCUGACAGGAAGGGCUGAGAAGGACAAUAGUGACCCUCCCAGAUGACCUCUCUGGACCUCAGCUUGCCAUCUGUUAUAGACUGGAGGUUUGUGUCCCCCCCCCCAAAAUUCCUAUGUUGAAAACCUACCCCCAAGUGUGAUGGUAUUUGGGGGUGGGGCCUUUGGGAGUUAAUUAGGGUUAGAUGAGGACAUGAGAGUAGAGCCCUCACAACGGGCUUAGUGCCUUUAUAAGAAGAGGAAGAGAGACCAGUUAUCUCUCUCUCUCUCUCUCUCUCUCUCUCUCUCUCUCUUUCUCCUGCCGAGUUCACAGCGAGGUCACGUGAACACACAGUGAGAUGGCAGCCGUCUGCAAGCUGGGAAGAGGGCUUGCACCAAGAACGGAUCAGCCAGCACCUUGAUCUUGGACUUCCCAGCCUCCAGAACUGUGAGAAAUAAAUGCCCGUUGUUUAAGCCA